GUUUUCAUUUGAUUCAUUAUUGUGUUGACAUUGUUUCGCAUCUCUGUUUUGAUGUUUUUCUCUGAUUCAUGUAAGGUUGAAUUUGUAUUGGCUUGUUUUGUCUUAAUUCUGAGUAUUAUAUGUUAAUUUUGCUCAUAAACUGUUUGUUUAAAUGUCUAAGAGAGCUAAUAUGAGAUUGUUCAUUCUUGAUAACUUAUUACUCUUCAUAUUAAAAUGCGCUCUCUGUAUCCUCACGCCAAAGGCAUAUUGUUAGGGCUCAAAGAGAAAGGCAUCGACGUUGCAAUCGCUUCUCGCUCAUCAACUACUGACAUAGCAACAAUUUUCCUCAACAAAUUGGGCUUCUCCUCACUCUUUGUCACACAAGUCAAUUCUUGUGCUUAUCUUGCUUUUCCAAUUCAAAUUUAAAGCAACAUGCAUUAGGUUUUUAUUUCUCUUGUGAACUUUGGUUUGUUCAGAAAAUAUAUUCUAGCUAGACACAUAAAACAGAUCAUUUUCAGCGGAUUCAUUCGAGCACAACUGUCCCCUUCAACUCCAUGCUCUUUUUCGAUGAUGAGAAUAGGAACAUCCAAUCGGAUUGUGUUGCUACAAGAUGGUACAGAGCCCCAAAGCUGUAUGGCUCCUUCUUUUCUGAGGUAUAUAAUUUGGCCAAAAUUUAUGUAAUAUAGAUCAUUUAUAGAGGCAUAUAUGCUUAUUUUUAGUUGCAAGGCAGUAUUGUGAUAUUAUUGUUGAGACUUGUUUGAGUUAAUAACAAUUUUGUAGACAUCAUUA
rnacentral:sRNA from 1 species